GUCUAUGGAAAAGCUUGCGAAUUCUUACGUGAAGGAAAUUGUGAGGCUUCACGGUGUUCCGUUAACGAUUGUAUCGGAUCGUGAUAGCCGUUUCACCUCAAGGUUUUGGAAAAGUCUACAAGAGGAAAUGGGUACCAAGUUAUGUUUAAGCACAGCUUACCAUCCGCAGACUGAUGGUCAGAGUGAAAGAACAAUACAAACACUUGAAGAUAUGCUGAGAGCAUGUACCUUGGAAUUCCUAGGUAAUUGGGAUGAACAUUUACCGUUGGUAGAAUUUUCCUAUAAUAAUAGUUUUCACUCGAGCAUUAAGAUGGCACCUUAUCAAGCUUUGUAUGGACAGAAGUGUCGUACGCCGUCUUGUUGGCUUGAGGCUGGGGAAAAGCAGUUUAUGGGACCGGAGAUGGUUCAUCAAACUGCUGAAAAGUUGAAAAUAAUUAGGGAAAGAAUGUUAGCAGCUCAAGAUCGUCAAAAGAGCUAUGCUGACAAGAAGCGAAGACCGAUGACUUUUGAGGUUGGAGAUUCGGUUUUGCUUAAAGUCUCGCCGUGGAAGGGACUUAUAAGAUUUGGUAAAAGGGGAAAGUUGAGUCCAAGGUUUAUUGGACCGUUUAAAGUUCUUCAGAGGAUUGGGAACCAAGCUUACAAGCUCGAAUUACCCGAAGAACUGAAUGGAAUUCACAACACUUUUCAUGUGUGUUAUUUGAGGAAGUUCACGGGAGAAGUUCCCGAUAUAAUUCCAAUUUCUGAAUUGAGAAUUGAUGAGAACAAAAGGUUGAUUGAAGAACCAGAGGCAAUUGUUGACCGAAAGACUAAGAAGUUGCGACGCAAAAUGGUUGGGUUAGUGCUUGUCCGAUGGAAACACACGAAUGGGCCGAAUCUCACCUGGGAGACGGAGAGUGACAUGUUGAGUCGCUAUCCGCAUUUGUUUGUUGAUGUGUGAUUCCGGGGACGGAAUCAUUCUAAGGUGGAGAGAUUUGUAACGCCUGUGUUUCCGGGCUUGCCAUUUUUAGCAAUAUAAUAGUCUAGGUUAACCUUUGUAACCCGUUUUGAAAUAAUAAGAUUGUAUUAUUUGAGUAUUAUGUGUUUUGUGCUUAAUUGCUUAAUUAUGUGGUUUGAUUAAUUAAGAAUAAAAAUAAGCGUCAAAAUUUAAGUGUAAAAUAAACUUAAUAUCUUUGGUUAAUGUUGUAGUAGUUGAAACGAGGUUUCCGAAUAUAUAUAGAACGCCCAAAUCUGACUUCGUAUGAGGAAGUUAUGAUUUAUCGAAGUUCCGGCUUAGCGGUAUACAGCCUGUUAUACUCGAUUUGAGAUCGAGCGGUUGUUAGCCGAAGCAAUCUAAAUGAGAAUCGAAGAUCUCAUUGUUGGUAUCGAAGCGAUAAAAAGUUAGGCGAGAACGGACGUCAAACGAAGAAGUUAUGAAUUUAUAACGAAAGUUUCUGUCGCGGCCUAUUAAAAAUAAUUAAUAAAAAUAAAGUCAAAAUUAGCCGACGGAGUCUAAACGAAAGUCGUAGAGCGUGGUCUCACCUUCGCGUGGAUAUAAAGAACGUCGAAAACGGAGUUCGUAUGAAGAAGUUAUGAAUUUCCGAAGUUUAUUAAUCAUUUUAUAUUUUUAUUUAAUUCAAAAUCGGAGGCAUUAUCCGAAGCCGUGUCACCGGUGUAAUCCGGAGUACGCCCCGCGUACGAGGUUACGCUAUCGCGUAACUCCGAUAGUGUCGACACUUCGGAUGACGCAUGCAAUGACGAUUUCGGACGCGUACGCGCUGCGUACGCCUGUACGCCCCGCGUACUCCGAGGUUCCAGCCUCUAUAUAAAGGAUCCGAAGGCAGCCUCAUUUCUUGUUCAUUUUCUUCUCUUCUCUCUAGUCUUUUGCAUCGUUUUUCGUGCCGAAGCUACCCCGAAGCCCCGGUAUCAUACUCUAGCCCCGAGGCAAGUCCCGAGAUCCCGAAGAUCCCGAGAAGCGCGGUUCCCGAGUCGAAGCUCUGCCCGCGAGAAGUUCGAUUUUCGAGGAGAUCUUCCAGAUCUGCUGUGGAUUACUACUUCUAUAAGCCGUAGUGCUGUCGGAUCGUCUUCUGAUCAAGUGAGUGUGUAGUUAUUUCUUCUAAUACAAUAAUACGAAGUAUUUUAUAUAAAAAUACGUGCUAUGUGUAUAUAUUUGGUUGUGUUAUGUGUGAAUGAGUAUUCACUCUCUUCUAUCUUAUAGAUCUGCUUAUUUCUUUAUGAGAUAUGUGUUAUGUGUGUGUGCCUCAUCUGUUAUGUGACAUAUGUGUUGAUUAAAGCAUGCUAUACAGGUUUUCUUUAAACUACGUAUGAAAAUAUAUAUUUUUAUCUACUAAUAUGUUGGGUAGAACAUGGGUAGAUAGUUGGUGUGUAAUAAACAGAUGAGAGGCCUCGAUGUUGUUGUUGUUGUUGAUCUAGUUAUUCAGCGGAGUAUGGAUAACGACCACGGACUCUUUCUAGACAGUCCAGUGGAACGCUAGCAGGUUCAUAACCUGUAGGUGUUGUGAACGAUGUGUUCACCGGUGUACUCUAUCCCCCUCAUGGUUGCCUUUAGGAUAUCUAUUGUUGAGGAAACCCCUUCGCAGUGAUGUCCGUCCCGAUGAAAAUCCUAGAUUAGGUCCCUUGAGAUAGUUGUUUUAGGGACGUAAAGUGAGGAUAACGGGAAUGGGUAAUCGGGAUAGUGAUUGGUUGGUGAAAUUAAAUAUAACUUAUUUAUUGUGGGUUGAAAACCCUAUAUGCUCACCAGGCUCCCAAGCCUGACCCACUCAGUUUUAUUUGUAUUACAGGAAGUGGCACAAGGGCGUAAGAUGGAUGGAUCAUCUUGUUGUUUUGUUUACAAGUCUGUAUAUGUAUAUAUUUGUUGAAUGACUUGUAAUGUUUAUCGUUUAUGCUUUAUGGUCUGUAUCGGAACAUGACAUCCCGAGUUUUGAUUAUAUAAUGAAAUGCAUCUCUUGAUGAAAUGCUUUGAUAAAUAUUAUUUUAUCAUGUUUUGUUUUGGGAACAAAUUCCGCAACUCUUUCAAAUCAAAAGGAUUUACUCUGAAAAUAUUUAAAAGCAUAAAUGAAAAUCGGUCUUUUCUGGCCGAGAUUUUGGGGAUGUCACAGUUGGUAUCAGAGCAUUAGUUUAAGCGAACUAGGAAUUUGUAGGAUUUCUAGACUUAAACUUAGAAUGCUAAAUGGAAUGAUGAGAUGUGUGUCUGUUGGAUUUUAGACACGAGCACUAGUUUAUUUUAGGAAAGUUGCCUAAAAUGUUUUAUGUGCUAAAUGUUAUAUGUUGCCAUAUAUGAUAUUAUUUGUUCGGAUCUACGGUCUGUUGCCGACCGGAUCUGGAAACCUUAUGUGUGUAGGAUUCUAAGCGUAUGCCUACGUUAUUAGAACUAGCAUGUAAACGUUUCGGAGUGAUAAGGAUGAUUUGAAUAUCUAUCGUGAAUGAGGAUCUAAUUUCACCUUAUUCGGUGUGUAGAUCAAAAAUGGUGAGAACAAGGAGUGGCGUUGGAAACGCGGAUGAAAACAGGAAUCAACCGCCAGUGAUUGAGCAAAUACCUGUUGUAGCAGCAGCACCAGAACCAAUAACAAUGGCUGCGGUGCAAGCCAUGAUUCGGGCUAUGCUAGCCGAACAAAGGGAGGAGAUGCGACAAAUGUUGCAUAAUAAUAGGGAUGAACCUAUCAUACCUAUUGAGGAACCGGAAUUGAUUCCCGAGCAAUCGGAGGAAGGGAACAAUAGUCGCAUGGUGAGUCAAGUUGGGACUCAAGAGGAACGAAGGAACGAUCCGGAAAGGAGAAACAACAAGGAUGGGCGUAUGUACAAGAAUUUCUUGGGCGCCAAACCGCCAAGUCUUUCUGGGAGCCCAAAGCCUGUUGAGAUAAUGGAUUGGAUCUCCGAAAUGGAGAUGGUAUUUGAAAGUUGCGACUGUAGCAACAAACAGAAGACCGUCUUUGCGGUUAGACAACUGAAGACUGGAGUCUUGAGUUGGUGGAAGUUGUUGGCAGAUACUAUGCCACGAGGAGAAGCCCUGAAAAUGUCAUGGGAGGAGUUCUUGGAACAGCUAAGGGUGCAGUAUUGUUCAGAGAUAGAUCUGAUUGAUCUGAACAAUGAGUUCCAAAACUUGAAGAAAGGGAAGAUGAGCAUAGAUGACUAUGCUACUGCAUUUACUGAGAAGAUGAAGUUGUUUCCGUACCUAGUGCCGACGGAACUCUCCAAGAUUGAGAGGUUUGCUAACGGACUGCCUGCUGACUUUGGUCCGACAGUCAAAAUGGCAACCACUCUGAAAACGGCUGUUCGUGCAGCUAAGAAUGUGGAGGCCCAGCAGAAGGAAAAGGGUCUGGAAAGAAUAGAUGUUGGAGAAAAGAGGAAGUUCGAUGGAACUUCAGGGUCCAACAAGAAAAACAAGUUCUCGAAGUCUGGUUCGAGGGGAGGUGGAGGUGAAGCGAAAUGGUGCGACAAAUGUAAGAAGAAGCAUCAUGGAAGAUGUGAGGUGGCGAACACAUGCUACAAGUGUGGAAAGCCAGGGCACUAUGCCAAUGAGUGUACCCUCACAAAGAAAGUUUGCUAUGGUUGUGGUGAGGAGGGUCAUAUGUCGAGGGACUGCCCGAAGAAGAAGGAGGCAGCUAGACCCAACAUUCCGCCAAAGCCAAAGGCGAGAGCAUUCCAGAUGACACUGGAAGCUGCUAAAGAUGAAGCUGAUGUCGCUUCAGGUACCUUUCUCGUUAACGAAUUGCCUGCCCAAAUUUUAUUUGAUUCUGGAGCCAACUACUCCUUUAUAUCGCAUGAAUUUGGUAGAAAGCUAGCUUUGCCUGUUGUUAGACUAGAUAAUGCUUUAUUAGUCGAAGUUGCUAGUGGCAAGUUUGUACCUGUUAGCUAUCGCAUGAAAAACAUCUUAAUUGAUCUGAAUGGGAAUAAGUUCCACGAGGAAUUAUUGCCUAUCGAACUUAAUGGUUUCGACAUCGUAUUGGGAAUGGAUUGGCUUAGCGCCAACGACGCCGAAAUUUUAUGCAAGAAGAAAAUAGUCAAAGUAAACCCGCCUGGGAAAGAUUCGUUUAUGGUGUAUGGAGAUAAACGCAGAGUGAAUUCUGGAAUCAUUUCAUUGAUGAAAGCCAGAAAAUGUUUGACCAAGGGGUGUACAUCGUAUUUAGCAUUCGUGAUUGAUGCUAAGAAGGAAAAGAAGGUGAUGCAGAAUAUUCCAGUGGUGUGUGAUUAUCCGGAAGUAUUUCCCGAAGAUCUUCCUGGAUUACCGCCUGAUCGACAAGUGGAAUUCCGUAUUGACUUGUUGCCAGGAACCACGCCAAUUGCAAAAGCACCUUAUCGAUUAGCACCGACGGAGAUGAAGGAGCUAAUGAUGCAACUUCAGGAGUUAUUGGACAAAGGUUUCAUUAGACCUAGUUCAUCGCCCUGGGGAGCUCCGGUGUUAUUUGUAAAGAAGAAAGAUGGAAGUAUGAGAAUGUGCAUCGAUUACAGAGAGCUGAACAAGGCAACAAUAAAGAAUAGAUAUCCGUUGCCGAGGAUUGAUGACCUGUUUGAUCAAUUGCAAGGUUCGAGCUAUUUCUCGAAGAUCGAUCUUAGGUCAGGAUAUCAUCAGCUGAAAGUAAGAGAGCAAGAUAUCGAGAAGACUGCAUUCAGAACUAGAUAUGGACACUACGAGUUCUUGGUUAUGUCGUUUGGACUAACCAAUGCUCCAGCAGCGUUCAUGGAUUUGAUGAAUAGGGUUUGUAACCCGUUCCUUGAUAAAUCCGUGAUAGUGUUCAUAGACGACAUUCUGAUUUACUCGAAAAGCCAGGAGGAGCAUGGCAGACACUUGCGAGAAGUGUUAGAAGUCUUGAAGAAGGAGAAGCUGUAUGCUAAGUUCUCCAAAUGUGAUUUUUGGAUUCGUGAAGUCCAAUUCUUGGGUCACGUGGUCAACCAAGAAGGGAUAAUGGUUGAUCCAGCGAAGAUCGAAGCUGUGACGAAGUGGGAACAACCGAAAAGUCCCACGGAGAUUCGAAGCUUUUUAGGAUUAGCCGGAUAUUACCGAAGGUUUAUCCAAGGCUUUUCUUCGAUUGCUACUCCAUUAACAGCUUUGACCCACAAAGGAGCUACUUAUGCUUGGAGUGAGAAGCAUAAAGAAGCAUUCGAGAAGUUAAAGAAGAAGCUAUGCGAGGCACCGAUACUUUCUCUACCCGAUGGAGUUGAAGACUUCGCUGUUUAUAGCGAUGCGUCUGGUGUUGGAUUGGGUUGUGUUUUGACCCAAAGAGAAAAGGUGAUAGCAUAUGCGUCUCGACAGCUGAAAGAGCAUGAAAAGAAUUACCCGACUCAUGAUUUGGAGUUGGCAGCGGUAGUUUUCGCUCUGAAAAUAUGGAGGCAUUACCUCUAUGGCACGAAGUGCAAACUUUUCACUGAUCAUAAGAGUCUCCAAUACCUCUUUAAUCAGAAAGAAUUGAAUAUGAGGCAACGACGCUGGCUAGAAUUACUUAAAGACUACGACUGCGAGAUACUUUACCACCCCGGUAAAGCUAAUGUUGUUGCUGAUGCUCUCAGUCGGAAAGUCAAUCUUGAAAGGAAAAGGCCAAGAGCGUUGAGAAUUGAAGUUGUCUCGACUAUUUUGGAAAGUAUAAAGAAAGCUCAAAGCGAAGCUUCUGAGAAGAAUGACCGAAAGGAGGAACGUUUGGGCAAAACGUUGGUGUUCGGUGUAAACAGUCAUGGACUGAAGGUGUUCCAAGAUCGGAUUUGGAUACCUAAGACAGGAGGAGUCAGAGAUCUUCUGAUGGAAGAAGCUCACAAAACCAUGUACUCGAUUCAUCCCGGUAGCACUAAAAUGUAUAGGGACCUGAAACCCUACUACUGGUGGCCGACGAUGAAGCUUGAUGUUGCAAAGUAUGUGGCCGAGUGUGUGACUUGUGCGAGAGUCAAGACACAACAUCAGAAACCGUACGGGAGUUUAGAACCAUUGCCUGUGCCUAUGGGUAAGUGGGAAGACAUUGCUAUGGAUUUUGUCACUAAACUGCCCAGAACAAAGAAUGGUCACGACAUGAUUUGGGUGGUCGUUGAUCGAUUCACUAAGAGUGCGCAUUUCAUAGCAGCCAAGGAGAAAUGGUCUAUGGAAAAGCUUGCGAAUUCUUACGUGAAGGAAAUUGUGAGGCUUCACGGUGUUCCGUUAACGAUUGUAUCGGAUCGUGAUAGCCGUUUCACCUCGAGGUUUUGGAAAAGUCUACAAGAGGAAAUGGGUACCAAGUUAUGUUUAAGUACAGCUUACCAUCCGCAGACUGAUGGUCAGAGUGAAAGAACAAUACAAACACUUGAAGAUAUGCUGAGAGCAUGUACCCUGGAAUUCCUAGGUAACUGGGAUGAACAUUUACCUUUGGUAGAAUUUUCCUACAAUAAUAGUUUCCACUCGAGCAUAAAGAUGGCACCUUAUCAAGCUUUGUACGGACAGAAGUGUCGUACGCCGUCUUGUUGGCUUGAGGCUGGAGAAAAGCAGUUUAUGGGUCCCGAGAUGGUCCAUCAAACCGCUGAAAAGUUGAAAAUAAUUAGAGAAAGAAUGUUAGCAGCUCAAGAUCGUCAAAAGAGCUAUGCUGACAAGAAGCGAAGGCCAAUGACCUUCGAAGUUGGAGAUUCGGUUUUGCUUAAAGUCUCGCCGUGGAAGGGACUUAUAAGAUUUGGUAAAAGGGGAAAGUUGAGUCCAAGGUUUAUUGGACCGUUUAAAGUUCUUCAGAGGAUUGGGAACCAAGCUUACAAGCUCGAAUUACCAGAAGAACUGAAUGGAAUUCACAACACUUUUCAUGUGUGUUAUUUGAGGAAGUUCACGGGAGAAGUUCCCGAUAUAAUUCCAAUUUCUGAAUUGAGAAUUGAUGAAAACAAGAGGUUAAUUGAAGAACCAGAGGCAAUUGUUGACCGAAAGACUAAGAAGCUUCGACGCAAGAUGGUCGAAUUAGUGCUUGUUCGUUGGAAACAUUCGAAUGGGUCAAAUCUCACCUGGGAAACGGAGAGUGACAUGUUGAGUCGCUAUCCGCAUUUGUUUGUUGAUGUGUGAUUCCGGGGACGGAAUCAUCCUAAGGGGGAGAGAAUUGUAACGCCCGCGUUUCCAGGCUAGGCAUUUUCGUUGAUGUAAUAGUCUAGGUUAACCUUUGUAACCCAUUUUGAAAUAAUAGAAGUGUAUUAUUUGAGUAUUAUGUGUUUUGUGCUUAAUUGCUUAAUUAUGUGAUUUGAUUAAUUAAGAAUAAAAUGAGCGUCAAAAUUUAAGUGUAAAAUAAACUUGAUAUCUUUGGAUAAUGCUGUAGUAGUUGAAACGAGGUUUCCGAAUAUAUAAAAAACGCCCAAAUCUGACUUCGUAUGAGGAAGUUUUGAUGUUCUGAAGUUUCGACUUAGCGGUAUGCAGCCCGAAAUACUCACUUUGAGAUUGAGCGGUUUUUAGUCGAAUCAAUCUAAACAAGAAUCGAAGAUCUCGUUGUUGGUAUCGAAGCGAUGAAAAGUUAGGCGAGAACGGACGUCAAACGAAGAAGUUAUGAAUUUAUAACGAAGUUUUUCUGUCCCGACCUACUAAAAAUAAUUAAUAAAAAUAAAGUCAAAAUUAGCCGACGUAGUCUAAACAAAAGUUGUAGAGCGUAGUCUCACCUACGCGUGGAUAUAAAGAACAUCAAAAACGGAGUUCAUAUGAAGAAGAUAUGAAUUUCCGAAGUUUAUUAAAUAAUUUGUAUUUAAAUUUAAUCUUUAAUUCGGAUGUAUAUCCGAAGGAGUCACCGAUCUGAUCCGAAGUACGCCCAGCGUAUCGCGAAGCAUGACGCACCUCGCACUCGAGUUCUUCGGAUGACGCAUGCCAUGACGAUUCGGACGCGUACGCCCCGCGUACUGCUGUACGCCCAACGUACUCCGAGGCUCCAGCCUCCUAUAAAUAGGAUGCGAGGACAGCCGGCUCAUUUGCUCUUUUUCUCUCUUCUCUCUCCCGUUUUGCAUUUGCGUGCCAGAAAUACUCCGAAGCCCCGGUAUCAUUCCCAAGCCCUGAAGCAAGUCCCGAGGUCAUGAAGAUCCCGAGAAGUAAGAUUCCCGAGCCGAAGCUCUGCCCGCGAGAAGUUUGAUUUUUGUGAAGAUCUUCCAGAUCUGCGGAGAGAUACUACUUCUACAAGUCGUAGUGCUGUCUGAUCAUCUUCUGAUCAAGUGAGUGUAUACUACCUUUCAUAAACACGAUAAUAAUACA
rnacentral:lncRNA from 1 species